rnacentral:ncRNA from 2 species
GGAAGUCCGGUGCGAAUCCGGCGCGGACCCGCCACUGUGAUCGGGGACGCUCGCCGCACGCGCCACACGGGCGCCGGCCACCGGGAGGCUUCGCCGACCGGGAAGGCGCGGAGGGUCGGCCCGAGAGCCAGGAGAC